ensembl:lncRNA
CACACACACACACACACACACACACACUUUUGCAGCUUCCUCUGACAGCUGCCCUGGCCUUCUGAAAUAGCCCUAUGGAAUAUUCCUCGCUUCCGUCUCCCUCUAAGCUGUGCUGAAAAGCUGUUUUUUUGGACACUGGCAAGAGUCAUUGCUGCCCACCCCAUCCCCAACCUCUGCCAACAUAAGUCCCCGUGUGGGUCCUGGGCAAAGACGGCUCAAGACAGUGUUAAAAGAUGAGCUUGACUCAGCUAAUAUUGGCAUCUCAUCGAGAAAGAGCUGUGGGUUUGCUGAGCCUUUCUCCAAACCAGUGCAGGGCUGUCCUGAUGGCUCAGUGGUAAAGAAUCUGCCUGCCAAUGUAGGAGACACAAGUUCAAUCCCUGAUCUGGGAAGAUCCCGUAUGCCUUGGAGCAACUAAGCCAGCAAGCCCAAACUACCAAGCCCACAUGUUGCAGCUACUAUAGCCCAGGCUCUGCAACUAGAGAAGCUACCGCAACGAGAAGCCGGAGCACCGCAACUAGAGAGUAGCUCC